rnacentral:lncRNA from 1 species
GAAGGGGCUGAUGCACUGGGACGGACCUGACCCCAGCUAUACACAGCAAGUGGAACGAACGCUGCUCUCAAGCACCCAGGUACGGUGCUGAGAUGAACUGGAUCCGAACCAAAGAUGCAGCUCUGUGCUGUUCCAUUCAAGCUCGAGAGAGGACACUGUGGAAGAUUCUCCUGUUACCUCUGGCUGUUUGACUGCCUUGUUCGUAUGCAGACCCAGCUCUGGACAGAUUGUGCAAGUCUGCAUUCCUAGGACAAAGCCAGGAAUUUAAAGCACAAGGAUGGCCUUGGAAUCACGCUUUAGGAAAAAUUCCUGUACGCUGAUGCUCCCGGCACACGGCAGGCACACGCUCCGACUCGCCCGCAUCGGCGUCAGGAGCGGCUCCAGGAUACAAACUCUGGAGAAAACUACUGAAAGGGGAUGCAAGGAUCUCUCUGCAAACUAUCGCUACCUUUUUAAAAGAUACACAGGAAAAAAACAACAGUGCACUAAAUGCAUACAUACAUCACUCAGGGAUAUCACAACAUCAAGUAACUUCAGAAGACCUCAGGCACGUGCACAGGAGCAGCCCUGCCAGCGCUGCGCCCUGUGCACCAGCUGCUGAACGCUACCCCAGACAAGGCCUCCUCACGCAAAGGUGCGUAUUGCCACUCACAGCCAGGCAAACCCAGCAGAAUUCAUUCAGACAAGUACGGCACCAGAUAGGAAACGUUUAC